rnacentral:rRNA from 1 species
UACGAAGGGGGCUAGCGUUGCUCGGAAUUACUGGGCGUAAAGGGCGCGUAGGCGGGUCGUUUAGUUAGAGGUGAAAGCCCAGGGCUCAACCCUGGAAUUGCCUUUAAUACUGGCGGCCUUGAGUAUGGCAGAGGUGUGUGGAACUCCGAGUGUAGAGGUGAAAUUCGUAGAUAUUCGGAGGAACACCAGUGGCGAAGGCGGCUCACUGGCUCGGUACUGACGCUGAGGUGCGAAAGCGUGGGGAGCAAACAGG